rnacentral:misc_RNA from 1 species
UGUUUGGGAUACCCAACUUGGGCCCCUAAGCAAACACUUCCAUGUGUACUCUCCCAUGUUGCUUCCCCAGACCAGUGGCCACUGCUGCCAGCUCAGCCCUGUAAUGGGUUUCCUGGGUUGAGGUGUCUGGGGAAGGGCCCAAUAUCAAACCUUUAAACUGAAUUAGUUGUCGGAGAAGGCCAUGUGCCGUAACAUUUAAACUUGUUAAAACUUUCAACAACGGAUCUCUUGGCUCUCGCAUCGAUGAAGAACGCAGCGAAAUGCGAUAAGUAAUGUGAAUUGCAGAAUUCAGUGAAUCAUCGAAUCUUUGAACGCACAUUGCGCCCUUUGGUAUUCCUUAGGGCAUGCCUGUUCGAGCGUCACUAAAA